rnacentral:ncRNA from 2 species
UACUCAUCGAGACCGGCUGAGGGACAGGCCCUUUGAAGCCGGGGCAACCUGCGGAAUGUUCCGCGACGGUGCCAACUCCUGCGGCGGCGCCCCGGCGCCCCGGCAGAUGGGCG